rnacentral:ncRNA from 1 species
CGAGGUCGAGCGAGAGCGUGCAAGUCGGGACCCGAAAGAUGGUGAACUAUGCCUGAGGAGGUUGAAGCCAGAGGAAACUCUGGUGGAGGACCGUAGCGAUUCUGACGUGCAAAUCGAUCGUCAAAUUUGGGUAUAGGGGCGAAAGACUAAUCGAACCGUCUAGUAGCUGGUUCCCUUCGAAGUUUCCCUCAGGAUAGCUGGCGCUCUGUCGCAGUUUUAUCUGGUAAAGCGAAUGAUUAGAGGUCUUGGGGGCGAAACGCCCUCAACCUAUUCUCAAACUUUAAAUUGGUAAGAAGCCCGACUCGCUCGUUUGGAGCCGGGCAUGGAAUGCGAGUGCCAAGUGGGCCACUCUUGGUAAGCAGGACUGGCGAUGCGGGAUGAACCGAACGCCGGGUUAAGGCGCCCGACGCGACGCUCAUCAGAGCCCACAAAAGGUGUUGGUUGAUAUAGACAGCAGGACGGUGGCCAUGGAAGUCGGAAACCGCUAAGGAGUGUGUAACAACUCACCUGCCGAAUCAAUCAGCCCUGAAAAUGGAUGGCGCUGGAGCGUCGGGCCUAUACCCGGCCGUCGCGGCGGUACGAGCAUCGAGUUGGUGCGCUAGGCCGCGACGAGUAGGAGGGCCGCGGCGGCGGGCGUAGAAGCCUAGGGCGCGAGCCCGGGUGGAGCAGCCGUCGGUGCAGAUCUAGGUGGUAGUAGCAAAUAUUCAAAUGAGAACUUUGA